CCUACGGGAGGCAGCAGUGGGGAAUAUUGGACAAUGGGCGAAAGCCUGAUCCAGCAAUACCGCGUGUGUGAAGAAGGCCCUAGGGUUGUAAAGCACUUUUGUUAGGGAGAACGGGUUUUGAUAUUAAUACCAUCAGAAUCUGAUGUUACCUAAAGAAUAAGCACCGGCUAACUCCGUGCCAGCAGCCGCGGUAAUACGGAGGGUGCAAGCGUUAAUCGGAAUUACUGGGCGUAAAGGGCGCGUAGGUGGUAUUUUAAGUUGGGUGUGAAAUCCCCGGGCUCAACCUGGGAAUUGCAUCCAAAACUGGAAUGCUAGAGUGUGGUAGAGGGUAGCGGAAUUUCUGGUGUAGCGGUGAAAUGCGUAGAUAUCAGAAGGAACAUCAAUGGCGAAGGCAGCUACCUGGGCCAACACUGACGCUGAGGCGCGAAAGCAUGGGGA
rnacentral:rRNA from 1 species